rnacentral:rRNA from 1 species
AGUGAACGUUGGCGGCGUGGAUUAGGCAUGCAAGUCGAGCGAGAACCGUAGCAAUACGGGGACAGCGGCGAAAGGGACAGUAAUGUGUAGGUACCUACCUCCGGGUUCGGGAUAGCUGCGGGAAACUGCAGGUAAUACCGAAUAACGUCUCCGGACCAAAGGAGUGAUUCCACCUGGAGAGGGGCCUGCAUCCUAUUAGCUUGUUGGCGGGGUAACGGCCGACCAAGGCGACGAGGGUUAGCGGGUGUGAGGGCACGACCGGGGUCAUUGGGACUGAGACACUGCCCAGACACCUACGGGUGGCUGCAGUCGAGGAUCUUCGGCAAUGGGCGCAAGCCUGACGGAGCGACGCCGCGUGCGGGAUGAAGGCCUUCGGGUUGUAAACCGCUGUCGUAGAGGAGGAAGUGCAGGGGGGUUCUCCCCUCUGUUUGACCUAUUCUAGGAGGAAGGACGGGCUAAGUUCGUGCCAGCCGCCGCGGUAA